GGAGGCAAGGAGGGACAGAGGGACGGCCUCGGUGAUUCGGCGAUCGGCCGCGCGGGCUGAGGGUGAGGCUGCGGAAUCCCGAGCCGCAGAUGGGACGGGAGAGGCAGCGCUGCCGGGACACGACGGGGUUAAGCUGGGUCGGCCGCCAUUUUGAAUGGCGGGGAGGUCUCACUGUUGCCCUGUAUCAGAAGAACCUGCCACCGAAUGUGCCUACAGGAAAAUGCAUAAGUAUUCAAGAAAAUUAUAUAAAUUGAAAUGUAAAAAUUAAUAAAGAAUUAUAUGUGUAACAA